rnacentral:rRNA from 1 species
GACGAACGCUGGCGGCGUGCUUAACACAUGCAAGUCGAACGGUGAUGCUCCAGCUUGCUGGAGUGGAUCAGUGGCGAACGGGUGAGUAACACGUGAGCAACCUGCCCCAGACUCUGGAAUAAGCGCUGGAAACGGCGUCUAAUACUGGAUACGAAACUGGCCCGCAUGGGCAUGGUUUGGAAAGUUUUUCGGUUUGGGAUGGGCUCGCGGCCUAUCAGCUUGUUGGUGAGGUAAUGGCUCACCAAGGCGACGACGGGUAGCCGGCCUGAGAGGGCGACCGGCCACAAUGGGACUGAGACACGGCCCAGAAUCCUACGGGAGGCAGCAGUGGGGAAUAUUGCACAAUGGGCGAAAGCCUGAUGCAGCGACGCCGCGUGAGGGAUGACGGCCUUCGGGUUGUAAACCUCUUUCAGCAGGGAAGAAGCGAAAGUGACGGUACCUGCAGAAGAAGCACCGGCUAACUACGUG